AGCAGAAAAUGGAAUACUCUCUAUUUACCGAAUAAUUAUGAUAAUGAAAUAUGCAAAAUUAGUUGGAUCCUCAAGUUAUUGGAUGAAAGUGAGGCUGACGAAGUAGUAGAAUUACUGCAAGAAAAAGCAAAGGAAGAAGCAAAAGUAAACAAAAAUUUUACUCUCUACGGAAGAUUUAUUCAAAAUAUUUCAAAAUUAAUAAAAAAAGAAUUAUUUAUUGGUGAUAAUACUAGUAAUGCUGUAAAUUAUUCCGAAGCACACACUAUACUUACGGUUAAUGAACUAGGCAGUGAAAAACUUUUACAUAGUUUCCUAGGCUUGCUUAUCAAUAAUAUACUAAAGAAUGAAAAAGACUUUACUACAGAAAAACACAACUUGAAGCCAAUUGUGAAGAUUAACACUGCUAUUGUACUUUAACAGGAAAAAAUGAAAAAGAAACUAGCAAUUGAAAAUUUUGCGAAUCAAGUUUUAACGAAAAAAAUGGUAGAUCUUAUAAGAGUGCAACUAUCGUGGCCUCAAUACAAAAAUGAUGAUGGUACAUUGAAUGGAUUUCCAUUAGAAAAAUAUUUUUUUCCACAAGAUGUUGAUGAAGUCAAUGAAGGUGAAUAGUAUAUUUAAAUAUAAAUUAACAACAACUAAACAAAACAUUGAAAUUACUUUUAACCUUAUGCGAGUUUGUAGCGACUACCUUAGCGGCCGAGUGCUUAGUUAUUGGCAGGGUGCCAAGUAUAGGGUGGGGACAAUCUAAUCGAUUGUAGCGCCUGCAGUGGACGAAAUACGCGUUAAAUCGCACUUGUAUUGUGAAUAGUUAAAUGAAAGCAGUGUUAAAAAAUAAGAACAAGUAGUCGUUAUGUUGUUAAUUGCAAAAAUACUGACAGAAAUAGUAAUUGCAAGUUUUAUAAAUCUCCAUUCAUGAUGUUCAUCUUUGGCUAAAAAUUAUU